AUCAAAAAUUUCAUAUUGUAAAGCCGUUUUUUUAUUACUCACUACAAGAAAAAUGGCUUUAGUUAGCGGCCAAAAAACUCUAUCUAACGAUACGAUAGCGGUUUAUGAAGUGAUGUAUCAUCGCCCGUGUUAGUAGGUAAGACACAUUAGAUAGCGGUUUUUGUACUGCUAUUUUAUUAUCAUAUACAAUAGCGUUUGUAUGUUUGCAAUUACAUAUUUUUUAAUAGCAUAUAAUUUUUGUUAUUAUUUAUAUUAUUAUAAAAAAACAAAAAUACAAUUCGAAAAAUACAAUUAAAUAAUAUAAUUUAUUAAUUUUCAUUUACAAAAUAACUGAAUUUGGUUUAUAAAUUAAAAUCGUUUUACAAAAUUAACUAAAUUAAAAAAAACUAAACCUAAAAAAAUUCCACAGUUCACACCUAAACCUAAUUUGGUUGUUCUCCAACGAGCCGCCAUGGGACUUUUGACGGAAAGCAAAGCAGUCUUCAGCGAGGACGUGAUGUAGGGUUGUCGCAGAGGAGGACCCAUCUCCGGCUAGUUGUUGAGGAGAGGAGCAGAGGAAGCGUAUUUGAGAGGAGGAGAGGCCGCACACAGAGGAAGAGAGACUUGUAGCAGAGCGGUCACAAAGUAGAGGAGCAGAGUUGUCACGAAGCAGGGGGGAGGCGUCACUUCUUCACGGAACAGAGGAGGAGGCGUUACGGUUAAGUCUUAGCCACCACAGAACUAAAAGAUAGAGAGAUAAUAGAGUAGAUGGGAUGCUCCUCCUCUGUCGUUGAGGGAGACAUAUCAGAAGAUAGCGACAGCAGAGAUGUAGAGCUCGCGACAGGUCGAGAUCCGUGACGGGAAGACGUUGGCAAGCUUGAGCAGAGGUGGAGAAGAGAUGCGAUAUAGAGAAGAAUAUGAGAGGUUGGCGGCAGAUGGAAACAAAAGAGACAAGAGAGAGAGAGAGAGAGAGAGAGAGAGAGAGAGAGGAAGACACACAUAUUGACUUUGAUGAGAUUGUAGAGAAGAAAAAAGAUGUGCAUAGAGAGAUGAUGUCAUAGUAGUGAAGAAGACAAAGAUUAAAAAAUUGUUUCAGAUCUGAAAUUAAAAAAGAAUAAAAGAAAUUAAAAAGAAUACUGAAUUGUGGUCUGAUUGUAUAAAAAAGAGGCGAGAGAGAAGAAGAAACACAGAUGAAUGAAUCUGAACCAUUGAAUAAAUUUAAUCAAUGGUCUACACUUUGUAAUCCACACACUUUUUGUUUCAGCCAAUGAAAAAAUAGAAGGAGGAUUACUAUGGAAGAGUUGUUAACACAAAUGGUCAUUUUAUGUUUUUUAUUUACACUGGAGAGUACAUUGUGCUACACAGACACUUUUAUGUGGUUGAAGACCAAAUUAUCCUCUGAAAAGCAAAACAAGGAUUGGUAUUUAAGUAAAACGAUGUUCAAUGCUAGUUAGGUUGAGAAAAGGCUGGUUACAGAUUUUGAAUUUUGAAUAAAGCAGCGAUUAGUUGGUGGACCCCAUAGGAUGUUAAAUCCAGUUGAUAAAUUAUUUCUUGAGCCCGUAAAAGGCAAAUAAUUUUUUUUUUAUCUGUAAAAAAUUAAAAGUGACAGUUUCAGCGAGAGAGAAUGACGGAGAAAAAAAAGACAAAUGACGAAAUCAAAAUCGACGGCGGCCUAUGUAUGCAUGCGUAAUCGACGAUGACGACGAAGAAGAAGCGCUCAGGAAAGGAGAAAGCAAAAGAGGUAGCGACGACGGUUGAGGAAGAGGUGAAUGAUAGGAUACCAACCCGUUUGUUUGCGGCGGUCUGGUUUCCGAGUAGGAGGCUUAACUGCUACUCAUCGUUGGAGUACCUUCUGCUGGUGAGGGGUGUGCUUGAAGGUAGUGAAGAGGCAGAGAGGUUAAAGAUGGUAUGUAAUCGAGGACGAGGCAGCAACAAAGAAGGCGGAGGUGUUAGAGGCUGAGUAUGAUAUUCAGCUGACUGUGCAACCUAUGAUGGAGUGUGGGGAGGAGAAGGAGGAUGGUUGGGAAAAAUUUAACAGUGAGAAAUUUUGAUCGUCAAUAAGGCUGGACACAGAUUUUUAAUAUCUAUGCGAUGUAGACAGAUGUUAAGGUUACAUUUAUUUUUGAUGUUUAACUAUGCACUGAAGGUCUAAGUGAAUUUUUUAAGUGGGUGUGCGGAUAUAAAGAUGUACAAUUGAAUCUCAUAAAUAUGUUCGUAAAGUAUGAGAAAAUAACUGGUUGUA